UUGGAGGAGAAAAAAUCAUUAUUGAAAGCGCCGUCCUUUUCGGUGCUCUGCCAACAAUGGUCAAGGUUCGCAAAUUCCUCAGGAGGGAUCCUUCCUUUCUUGGUGAAUUUUCAUUUGGAUGGCAUUCCUGUGCAUGCUUGGGAGGCUGCCACGGUGGAACGACUGCUCAAAACCUUUGCUUCGGUGUUCUGCGUUCAGUCGGACCUGGAUGACCUCACCUCUUUUCGAUGUUCUGCAUGGUGUGUUGAUCCCGCAUUGAUUCCGGAUUCAAGGGAGUUAUGGAUUACAGAACCCCUGCAGUCGCCAGAGAAUGCUGGUCAAGGGUUCAGAACUCUAAUUUAUCAAGUCAGAAUUCAUUGGUCCUUCCCUUCGUCAUCUGCUGAGCAUGGGCCCCCUCCAUCACUGGGCGAUUCGGGCGCCAGAGAUAGGGCUCGCCGGAGUCCCAGAUCACGUUCUCCUCCGGGAAAUGGCAGAGGGCAGAGUAGCCGACCUCGACGUUCAGUCAUGGAGAGGUUAGGCCCACAAAUUAAUGAUGGUCAAAGUAAUCUUGAAGGGCGGCGUUCCAGUGCUAGCAACAAGCGCUGCUCGGGCAUCGAGACAUUUCCUUUGGGUGCUUCGGCUCUGGUGCCUUUGGCUACAGACUUGGGUGAUAUUGAUGAAGGCAUUUCGAACUUGGUUAGCCGUGCGGGCCUCGAGGCGUCUUUUGUGACUGCCUUGGCUCCGGUGCCACUGGUUCCAUUAAUGGCAAGAGCAGACAAGGAGGGAGAACAUCUAGUCUAUGAUCAUCGUGCGGGCCUCGAGACCCCUUCCUUGGGUGUCUCGGCUCCGGUGUACAUGGCUGCAACGUCACCAAUUGAUGGAGCUACUGCGGCAGAAACUCUGAACUGCGAUCACCGUGCGGGCCUCGAGGCCCCUUCCUUGGGUGUUUCGGCUCUAGGGCGCUCUCAUGGGAUGUUGGAUCCCAUUUCUGUCAGAGGGGGGGCGUUGUCGGUUGCUGGGACUGUUUCCCCGCGGGCUCUGCUUGUCUAUUCUAGAAGACGCCCCAUUCUCGCAGAUGUUGGGGCGGACUCUGUUUCUGGGACAGCAGACCGGGUGGAUGAUCUCGAGCUUAGUUCUCCGACGGGAAGGCAAGAGCUACUAGAGGGACAAGCGGGGGAUGAUUGCUCCGCUGACUGUAUUUCGGCAUCGGUUUUGGAUACCACGACAUCGGAUGUUGACCAUUCGCUGGUGCAGGAUUUUUUGGCCACCAUCACUAAGCCAGUUGACUGCAUCUUGGCCAGACCAGCUACCCAAAAGCGGCGACGUAAGCAGACGCCAAAAGACUUUAUACCUAGAAGAAGUAAUAGACUGAAGAAGGAUGGUAGGGGGGCGCCUUCCACAGCUGUCAGAAAAAUCAGAGUGGAUAUUGCUAGAACUUUGGGGAUAUUGGCUGACCAGGAGGGAUUGGCACAAGAAGCUCUUGAUGAAUAUGGGCGGCUGUUUUCUAAGCCUCUAUCUCAGGACCAUGUCGCUGCCUUAGCUGCAUUGUUCGGUUGGGCAAUUCCGGAGAAUGCCGAUGCUGCAGAUUCAUUGUUGGGACAGAGUCCCAUUAUUGUGUAG
rnacentral:misc_RNA from 1 species